CCUACGGGAGGCAGCAGUGGGGAAUAUUGCGCAAUGGCCGAAAGGCUGACGCAGCGACGCCGCGUGGGGGAUGAAGCAUUUCGGUGUGUAAACCCCUGUUGCUCGGGACGAACAACUGGAUUCUUCCAGUCUGACGGUACCGGGUGAGGAAGCACCGGCUAACUCCGUGCCAGCAGCCGCGGUAAUACGGAGGGUGCGAGCGUUGUCCGGAAUCACUGGGCGUAAAGGGCGCGUAGGCGGUCUGCUAAGCGUGUGGUGAAAGCUCGGGGCUCAACCCCGAGUCUGCCAUGCGAACUGGUGGACUUGAGCACUGUAGAGGCAGGUGGAAUUCCGGGUGUAGCGGUGGAAUGCGUAGAGAUCCGGAAGAACACCGGUGGCGAAGGCGGCCUGCUGGGCAGUUGCUGACGCUGAGGCGCGACAGCGUGGGGAGCAAACAGGAUUAGAUACCCUGGUAGUCCACGCCGUAAACGAUGGGAACUAGGUGCUUGGGGGAGGCGACCCGACGUGUCGCGCACGCAUACGUUCCCGCCGUCGGGAGGUACGACCGCGAGGUAAGGUAACGUACGAAGAGUAAGUUAGACGGCGNGAGACGNGCCGACGGACGACGACGAGGGAGGAGG
rnacentral:rRNA from 1 species